GUUUUUUUGCCCAGAUGACAGGCUAGAUGCAGGGCUUACUAAUAUAAUUAUCAAAAGUGGUCCUUUGACAGGUCUUGGGAGAAAGUUUGAAGUCAAGUGCCAGAUUUCUCAGUGGAGCAGCGUCUGUGGCCCCAACCAGCCACGUACUGAGGAGCACAUGGCCACGUGCCGAGACUUCUGCUCAUAGUAUCUCCUUGUAGACAUGGCCUCCAUCAAACAUCAUGGCAGGAGAGCAAUGACCCUGUUUACCUCAAGGCUGGUGCACUUUUGGAAAGUGAAAUAUAUAAGCACCUCUUUCUGAUCAACCGGGAGUUUGCUCCUGGACAAUGCACCAGGAGGAGGGAGGACAGGGC